ensembl:lncRNA
CCGCCGUGUCCAAAGUGCUGAGUAACUCUCACAUGCUCAAUCUAGUCCUGCACGCAGCGGAUCUGUUUGUUUAGGGAACCUUGACCUGUCCGCUUGCAGGCCACGUUCAGAGAGCCUUCAACUAAAGAGAGAGGCUUUCCAGGUGCACACACAAAAGGAGACAUCUGUGAGACAAGGAGCAGGGCGUUGACGGGCCAGCGAGCCAGAGAGCACCCAGUGCUUCAUUCAUUAUUCAGGAGUUUGGGGCAAAGGGGGCAUCUGUCAGACGGCCGUGGCUCAUUCAGGGCAAAGGAAAAAAGAUCAAAGUGUCUGGUUCUGUGCGGAGAUGCUUCCUCGGAUGUACGGAAGCGUGUGGAGCCAAAUAAUCACUGUUAUGACACCAGGCAGAAGCACCGAUAACCUCGCCGUGUCAAAGGACCAUCUGUGUCUCUGGGUCGUCCAUCCAUCAGCAGGUUGAUCUGCUGUUCCGCACGUCGACGGUUCGGACCUGUGUGGAAGGAGCACUCAGUACCAGGAACACUUUGUGUGGAGGACGCGGGGCUCAAACAAACACACAACUCUUAUUUGCAUCUGCUUAUACAAGAAAACACUUCACCUUUAAGAAACAAGCACAUGACUUUGACCCCGGGGCCCAGCGUUCAUGACCCCAUAGGAUACCUACACUUUAUUACUGUUAUCACUUUGCUAAAACCAGAUGAAUGUUUUAUUUACCACAAGUACUAAAUACAGCAGAUCA